AUUUAUUUAUGGUUUUAUAAAUAAAUAUCUAAGUUUAAGUAUAUCAUUUACAAUGAUAAGAUGUUUUUAACUUUAU
rnacentral:tRNA from 1 species